GACGAACGCUGGCGGCGUGCUUAACACAUGCAAGUCGAACGGAAAGGCCCUGCUUUUGUGGGGUGCUCGAGUGGCGAACGGGUGAGUAACACGUGAGUAACCUGCCCUUGACUUUGGGAUAACUUCAGGAAACUGGGGCUAAUACCGGAUAGGAGCUCCUGCUGCAUGGUGGGGGUGGGAAAGUUUCGGCGGGUGGGGAUGGACUCGCGGCUUAUCAGCUUGUUGGUGGGGGAGUGGCUUACCAAGGCUUUGACGGGUCGCCGGCCUGGGAGGGUGACCGGCCACAUUGGGACUGCGGUACGGCCCAGACUCCUACGGGAGGCAGCAGUGGGGAAUAUUGCACAAUGGGCGGAAGCCUGAUGCAGCAACGCCGCGUGCGGGAUGACGGCCUUCGGGUUGUAAACCGCUUUCGCCUGUGACGAAGCGUGAGUGACGGUAAUGGGUAAAGAAGCACCGGCUAACUACGUG
rnacentral:rRNA from 1 species